CUUUUUAGAUUGGUCGUUUUCUUAUUGUUUGCAUGUAUUUUAUUUUUCUGACAUAAUUACUCCCCUUACUUAGUUAGUUAUUGUCUUCUUUCAUUUGUGUUAAGAAUGAAAACAAUCUGGGUUAUUUGGGUGUUUCUGGGUGGCACCAUGCGCACCUACAUAGGCAGGUGCCUGAUCACACCUCUUCCUCUCUAUCCUCCCUUGGAUGAUCCUGGUGUGUGGUGGCUGCAGCCUGGCGUGCCAGAGCAGUGUGGGCAUUUUGGUGUGAUUGCUUGCCGCCAAAGUGCUUCACUGUCAUUCAAAGCUGGCUGUUGGUGUGGAGGGACUGCUUGACCCACUCGGGGCCUGACAUGGUCGCUUCUUGUUUCCCUUGCAAAGCAACGCUGCAGACCAACUUCUCCCUCCUAUCGUCAGGAAGGCUGGGCUGGUGCCCGCUGAGGCUGUAGACGUGUGUGGCUGGGCACUGGCCACCACCCCCUAAAUAUGGCUGCUGCUUCAAUAUUGUCUCAGUUGUGGCCGUUUCAGCUAUUGGUUCACCACUGCUGCUUCAUAGCUGAUGCCUUGCGGCUCAGCUGUCCCGCUGACUGAGCUGCGUGGUGCUGGGGACCCAGGCAGCAGUCCACUCCAUCGGUGGUGGGUUUCCUUCGCACCCCCGAUUUUGUUUGCUGGUUUGCUGUGUCACGGGUGGUUUUUCUUUUGUUAUGAAUUCCCCUGCCUUGGUUUGAUCCCUGCUGCCUUGGCCUCAUCUGAGUUCAGCACAGCCCCUUGAGAAGCCAUAACACCCACAUGUGAUCCAGUGGGAGUGUACCAGCAGCCUUCUUGUAGAAUGGAACAUGAAGAAAGUGCUGUCAAAACAACAGGAAGGCUGCUGAUAAAGGACUGAGGACCAGAGUAACCUACGCUGCUGCCCUCCCACUGCAGCUAUAUUACUUUACCACAGAUUUAGUUUGUUCAACAAGCCACCUGCAUGGGAGACAUUAUAAAGACUUACCACACAUCCUCACAAAUAAAAUGAAGGCUGCUGAUAAAGGACUGAGGACCAGGGUAACCUACGCUGCUGCCCUCCCACUGCAGCUAUAUUACUUUACCACAGAUUUAGUUUGUUCAACAAGGCACCUGCAUGGGAGACAUUAUAAAGACUUACCACACAUCCUCAUAAA